rnacentral:rRNA from 1 species
CUGAACACCUACCAUUCUUUGUUAUGGUACAGGUCUGCAUUCAACACUGCCAUCAAGUGUGACCACAUCAACAACAAUUUGGCAGAGAGUUUCAACAACAAGGUGAAGGAGUUAAAAGAUUUGCCUGUGCAUGACAUGGUUGACCAAAUCAGGAUCAUGCUCAUGCGGUUGUGGGAGUUGAGAAGAAGGAUAGGUGAUUGUCUGCAAGGUGAUAAGCUUCCACCAGUGGUACAACAGGUGGUCAAUAGGAGCAGAUGUCUUUCACAUUUGUUUGUUGAAAAAUCUUCACCUUGGGGUGCUGAAGUUAGAGAUAACAAAACUGGAAGGAGACAUGUUGUUAACACUGAAUUGCAUGAUUGCACUUGCCUCGAGUGGCAACACACUGGUAAACCAUGUGAGCAUGCCAUUCUCUUCUUAGCAUCCCAACCGAAGAUAAACAUGCACCCAUAUUUGCAUGAAUAUUAUUCGGUAGCAAGAUUCAAAGCUGCAUAUGCUACUCCAAUUCCAGCACUUACA